AAAUACGACCAUAGAGUACUGAGCAUCCCGUCCGCUCUGUCAUACAUAAAUUUGAGGUCGGUGGAUUAGUAGUUGGGUGGGUGACCACCAGCGAAUACCCCCUGUUGUAUGUU
rnacentral:rRNA from 1 species